GGUUUCUUGUUAUUAUUUAAGAGAUUUAACCUGCCCACUGAAAGAAUUUUUGAAGGGCCGCAGUAUUUUUGACUGUGCAAAGGUAGCAUAAUCAUUAGUCUUUUAAUUGAAGGCUGGUAUGAAUGGUUGGAUGAGGUGAAUACUGUUUUAUAUAAAUAUAGUUGAAUUUAGAUUUUAAGUAAAAAGACUUAAAUGUAAUUAAGGGACGAGAAGACCCUAUAGAGUUUAAUAAGUGUAGUAAAUAAUUUAGUUAGUAUAAAAUUUUUAAUUAUUAUGUAAUUUAUUUAAUUGGGGUGAUUAAAAGAUAUAAUAAACUCUUUUUUGAAAUUAAUAUAUUAUUUAGUUUUAUGAGCCAUAUUUAAUGAUUAAAAGAUUAAAUUACCUUAGGGAUAACAGCAUAAUUUUUUUUAAGAGUUCUUAUCGAAAAAAGAGAUUAUGACCUCGAUGUUGGAUUAAGAUUAAUUUUGGGUGCAGAUGCUUAAAUAUUAGGUCUGUUCGACCUUUAAAAUCUUACA
rnacentral:rRNA from 1 species